AGUGAACGCUGGCGGUAGGCCUAACACAUGCAAGUCGAACGGCAGCACAGUAAGAGCUUGCUCUUACGGGUGGCGAGUGGCGGACGGGUGAGGAAUACAUCGGAAUCUACUUUUUCGUGGGGGAUAACGUAGGGAAACUUACGCUAAUACCGCAUACGACCUACGGGUGAAAGCAGGGGAUCUUCGGACCUUGCGCGAUUGAAUGAGCCGAUGUCGGAUUAGCUAGUUGGCGGGGUAAAGGCCCACCAAGGCGACGAUCCGUAGCUGGUCUGAGAGGAUGAUAGGCCACACUGGAACUGAGACACGGUCCAGACUACUAAGGGAGGCAGCAGUGGGGAAUAUUGGACAAUGGGCGCAAGCCUGAUCCAGCCAUACCGCGUGGGUGAAGAAGGCCUUCGGGUUGUAAAGACCUUUUGUUGGGAAAGAAAAGCAGCAGGUUAAUACCCAGCUGUUCUGACGGUACCCAAAGAAUAAGCACCGGCUAACUUCGUG
rnacentral:rRNA from 1 species